rnacentral:rRNA from 1 species
GCUGGCGGCGUGCCUAAUACAUGCAAGUCGAGCGAACAGAUAAGGAGCUUGCUCCUUUGACGUUAGCGGCGGACGGGUGAGUAACACGUGGGUAACCUACCUAUAAGACUGGGAUAACUUCGGGAAACCGGAGCUAAUACCGGAUAACAUUUGGAACCGCAUGGUUCUAAAGUGAAAGAUGGUUUUGCUAUCACUUAUNNUUGGACCCGCGCCGUAUUAGCUAGUUGGUAAGGUAACGGCUUACCAAGGCGACGAUACGUAGCCGACCUGAGAGGGUGAUCGGCCACACUGGAACUGAGACACGGUCCAGACUCCUACGGGAGGCAGCAGUAGGGAAUCUUCCGCAAUGGGCGAAAGCCUGACGGAGCAACGCCGCGUGAGUGAUGAAGGGUUUCGGCUCGUAAAACUCUGUUAUUAGGGAAGAACAAACGUGUAAGUAACUGUGCACGUCUG